rnacentral:rRNA from 1 species
GACGAACCGUGCGAACGUUGUUCGGAUUCACUGGGCUUAAAGGGCGCGUAGGCGGCUUGCCAAGUCAGGGGUGAAAUCGUUCGGCUCAACCGGACAAGUGCUUCUGAUACUGGCAGGCUGGAGGGAGGUAGGGGCAGACGGAACUUCCGGUGGAGCGGUGAAAUGCGUAGAUAUCGGAAGGAACGCCGGUGGCGAAAGCGGUCUGCUGGAUCUCUUCUGACGCUGAGGCGCGAAAGCCAGGGGAGCAAACGGG